CUGUCUGAAUAUGGGGGGCCCAUCCUCCAAGGCUAAAUACUCCUGACUGACCGAUAGUGAACCAGUACCGUGAGGGAAAGGCGAAAAGAACCCCGGCGAGGGGAGUGAAAAAGAACCUGAAACCGUGUACGUACAAGCAGUGGGAGCACGCUUAGGCGUGUGACUGCGUACCUUUUGUAUAAUGGGUCAGCGACUUAUAUUCUGUAGCAAGGUUAACCGAAUAGGGGAGCCGAAGGGAAACCGAGUCUUAACUGGGCGUUAAGUUGCAGGGUAUAGACCCGAAACCCGGUGAUCUAGCCAUGGGCAGGUUGAAGGUUGGGUAACACUAACUGGAGGACCGAACCGACUAAUGUUGAAAAAUUAGCGGAUGACUUGUGGCUGGGGGUGAAAGGCCAAUCAAACCGGGAGAUAGCUGGUUCUCCCCGAAAGCUAUUUAGGUAGCGCCUCGUGAAUUCAUCUCCGGGGGUAGAGCACUGUUUCGGCAAGGGGGUCAUCCCGACUUACCAACCCGAUGCAAACUGCGAAUACCGGAGAA
rnacentral:rRNA from 1 species